rnacentral:rRNA from 1 species
GACGAACGCUGGCGGCGUGCCUAAUACAUGCAAGUCGAGCGGACUUUCAAGAAGCUUGCUUUUUGAAAGUUAGCGGCGGACGGGUGAGUAACACGUGGGCAACCUGCCUGCAAGACGGGGAUAACUCCGGGAAACCGGGGCUAAUACCGGAUAAUAUCUUCCUUCGCAUGAAGGAAGGUUGAAAGGCGGCGCAAGCUGCCGCUUGCAGAUGGGCCCGCGGCGCAUUAGCUAGUUGGUGAGGUAACGGCUCACCAAGGCGACGAUGCGUAGCCGACCUGAGAGGGUGAGCGGCCACACUGGGACUGAGACACGGCCCAGACUCCUACGGGAGGCAGCAGUAGGGAAUCUUCCGCAAUGGACGAAAGUCUGACGGAGCAACGCCGCGUGAGCGAAGAAGGUCUUCGGAUCGUAGAGCUCUGUUGUCAGGGAAGAACAAGUACCGUUCGAACAGGGCGGUACCUUGACGGUACCUGACCAGAAAGCCACGGCUAACUACGUG